ensembl:lncRNA
UGCGGCUGCUGCCGGCUGGGGCUCUGCUGGUACCGCUACCACGUUCUCCUCUCUAUGGCUUAAGCAAGAAACUACUUUAGGUUGGGUCCACGUGCCUGGAUUUACUGUUAAUCAGAUUUUAAGAGCUGGAGGCAACACAGCCCCAGCUGGACCGUAAGAAAGGAGAGGCAGUGGGGGCAGCAGUGUGCACGUAGACCCCAGGAUCAGACAGACCAAGUUCCGGGUCUGGGUCUGCCAUCUACUAGCUGUGUGAUCUUCAGCAAGUCACUCAGUUUCUCUGAGCCUCGGUUUUCUCAUCUGCGGAACAGAGCAACAAAAGAAGCACUUUAUGGCUUCUCUUUGGCAUAUCCGAAUUGUCAUCAUGACUAUUCUUGUGCUUCGGGGCCAUUAUUAAGUGAAAUAAAGGUGACUCAAACACAAGCACUGGGACACUGCGGCAGUCCAUAUGGCAACAGAGACGGCCACUCAGUGAUGACGGGCGGGUAGCUAUACAGCGUGCAGAUGCGGACAAAGGGAUGAGUCAUCAUGCUGCUCAGAACAAGCAGACAAUUUAAAACUUAUGAACUGCUUAUUUCUGGAAUUUUCCAUUUAAUAAUUUUGGACCCUGGUUGACUAUGGACAACUGACACCACGCAAAGUGGAACCGCAGAGAAGGGGGCAACUACUGUAAUCCCAAAAGGAAACACAGAAGCUUCACAGGGGUGAAACCUGGCCUCACAGCCUUAACCAAGUGGUCAGAGUAAAUGUCACUCAUAAAGGGACGAAGUGACAUCACCUGUCUCCCGAGGGGAUGCACUCAGUGGGACAUGGACAUUUCUGCGGAUUCCUGCCCCAAAUGCAAAACUUGAAUCUAACUGAGGAAACAUCAAGCGAAACGGAGAGACAGUCUGCAGCUGGCCUGUGCUCUUAAAAAUGUCAAGGUCACGAAAGACAAAGAAAGAUGAGGCAGCUUUCCAGGUCAAGGGAGCCUAAACAGGCUUAACAACUGCACCCAGCACAGGAUGCUGGUUGGAUCUGGACCAGAAAGAAGAAUUCUAGAAAGGACGUUGUUGGGGAAACUGACUGUGAAUUGUAGAUCACAUAAUAGGAUUGUAUCAAGGUGGAAUUCCCUGGUUUUGGUAAUUGUAAUAUGCGUAAGCACGAAAAUGCCCUUUUUCUUAGGAAAUACAGUGUAGUGGGGCUGAAUAAGGGCUCCCAAAGGUGUCUAUGUCCGUGUACCUGGAACCUAUGAAAUGUCACUUUAUAUGGCAAAAGGGACUUUGCAGAUGUGACUUGAGGAGGUCAUCUGGACUAUGCAGGUAGGAACAACGCAGGCGAUCACAAGGGUCUUUGUAAGAGGGACACAGUAAAGGCAGACAGAAGAGGGAGAUGUGAUGACAGAAGAGGGAGAAAAGGUGACGUGAUUCAGGGCCACCAGCCAAGGAGUGUGGCAGCCUCUAGAAGCUGGAAAAGCCAGGAAGUGGACUCUCCCCACAGGCUCCAGAAGGAAUCAGCCCUCCUGCAUUCUGGUUUUGUCCCUGUAAGACUCAUUUUGGAUUUCUGACUUGAAAAACUGUAAGAGAAUAAAUGCG